AUUGAACGCUAGCGGGAUGCUUUACACAUGCAAGUCGAACGGCAGCGCGGACUUCGGUCUGGCGGCGAGUGGCGAACGGGUGAGUAAUGUAUCGGAACGUGCCCAGUAGCGGGGGAUAACUACGCGAAAGCGUAGCUAAUACCGCAUACGCCCUACGGGGGAAAGCAGGGGAUCGUAAGACCUUGCACUAUUGGAGCGGCCGAUAUCGGAUUAGCUAGUUGGUGAGGUAACGGCUCACCAAGGCGACGAUCCGUAGCUGGUUUGAGAGGGCGACCAGCCACACUGGGACUGAGACCCGGCCCAGACUCCUACGGGAGGGCGCAGUUGGGAAUUUUGGGCAAUGGGGGCAACCCUGAUCCAGCCAUCCCGCGUGUGCGAUGAAGGCCUUCGGGUUGUAAAGCACUUUUGGCAGGAAAGAAACGUCGCGGGCUAAUACCCCGUGGAACUGACGGUACCUGCAGAAUAAGCACCGGCUAACUACGUG
rnacentral:rRNA from 1 species